rnacentral:sRNA from 1 species
CGGGAGGUGAGCCCUGCAGAGGAAGCUCGGGGUUUGACAUCUGGAUGUGGCGCAGGUGCUGGGAAGGCUGGGAGGCUCUUGCCGAUGUGCCACCUUAACUUUUGAGACAAAGUCUCUCACGGACUAAAGGUUCACCCACUCAGGAAUGGAAUGUCUUUGGGCCUUCUUAUCUUCGUCAUAAAAUGAGAAAAUAAUACCUGUGUUUUCUACUGUGCGGUUGGCAAACAAUAAACAACAGAUGCAUCUUACUUUAUAAAAGUUAAUAUUGCUAAAUGGUACAUCUUGGCCCCCAAGGACUGUAUGGUUGUUAACAUGUUCGCGUUCUUUCUUCACAUUAAUUUACUAAGAAAAUGUGAUAUAUGGCUAGGUGCAGUUUUGACAAAGCUACGUAGCCAUCAUGUUGACUAAGACAUUAACAUUUUCCAUCACAGUAGGAUGCUAUUUUGUGCUCCUUUUCUCUUGGCUCCAAAGAUAGAUAUUAUAGUGUUUCCAGUGACCAUGAAUUACUGUUCAGUAUUCUUGAAUUUUAUGAAUGGAGCCACAUAGUGUACAUAAGUUUACGUCUGAUUUCCUCCAGUUACUAUUAUAUCUUUUAAUUCCCUGGUGUUACAUCAGUAUU